rnacentral:rRNA from 1 species
CACGUAGGGGGCGAGCGUUGUCCGGAUUUAUUGGGCGUAAAGAGCUCGUAGGCGGCUCAGUAAGUCGGGUGUGAAAACUCUGGGCUCAACUCAGAGACGCCACCUGAUACUGCUGUGGCUAGAGUCCGGUAGGGGAGCGUGGAAUUCCCGGUGUAGCGGUGAAAUGCGCAGAUAUCGGGAGGAACACCAGCGGCGAAGGCGGCGCUCUGGGCCGGAACUGACGCUGAGGAGCGAAAGCGUGGGGAGCAAACAGG